rnacentral:rRNA from 1 species
GGGGGCAACUCUGCAGUUUAGUGGCGGACGGGUGAGUAACACGUGGGUAACCUGCCCGGAAGUGGGGAAUACCUCGGGGAAACUCGAGCUAAUACCGCAUGACAUCUUUGGGACGAGAGUCCUGACGAUCAAAGCGGGGUCGCAAGAUCUCGCGCUACCGGAUGGGCCCGCGCCCGAUUAGCUAGUUGGCGAGGUAAUGGCUCACCAAGGCUUCGAUCGGUAACCGGCCUGAGAGGGCGAUCGGUCACACCGGAACUGAGACACGGUCCGGACUCCUACGGGAGGCAGCAGUGGGGAAUCUUGCGCAAUGGGCGAAAGCCUGACGCAGCAACGCCGCGUGGAGGAUGAAGGCCCUUGGGUUGUAAACUCCUGUCGGUUGGGAAGAAAUCUUACGGGGUUAAUACCUCCGUAAGUUGACUGUACCAGCAAAGGAAGCCCCGGCUAACUCUGUGCCAGCAGCCGCGGUAAUACAGAGGGGGCCAGCGUUAUUCGGAAUUAUUGGGCGUAAAGGGCGCGUAGGCGGCCAUGCGUGUCUUCCGUGAAAUCCCUCGGCUUAACUGAGGACGUGCGGAAGAAACUGCAAGGCUUUGAGUCCGGGAGAAGGGGGGUUGGAAUUCCCAGUGUAGCGGUGAAAUGCGUAGAUAUUGGGAGGAACACCGGUGGCGAAGGCGGCCCCCUGGACCGGUACUGACGCUGAUGCGCGAAAGCGUGGGUAGCAAACGGGAUUAGAUACCCCGGUAGUCCACGCCGUAAACGAUGGGCACUUGGUGUCGCGGGUAUCGACCCCUGCGGUGCCGAAGCUAA